rnacentral:lncRNA from 1 species
UUUACUCUUUUUCAAAAAUUUCGGCUUUAUUUCCUAAUUCUAACGUUCCUCAAAAAUUCUCUCUUCUCCUCUGGCGUUUUCCUUUUUCUUUUCCAAACACAAUAUUUUUCUCUUUUCAUUACUCAUUUUGACAAAAUCGUGCUUCAUUGUCAUGAUAUUUCUGAUUGUGCGCUUUUCAUUUGGUAACUUGUGGUGAGUUUUGCCGAGGAGGUAGCCUUUG